GACCCGGACUAUGGCGGGGAGUGGCAGACUGCUCAGUAACACGUAGCUAACCUACCCUCGGGACGGGGAUAACCCCGGGAAACUGGGGCUAAUACCCGAUAGGUUUGGAUUCCUGGAAUGGUGCCAUGCCUAAACGUAAGCGCAUCCAUGUUUGUGUGCACGCCCGAGGAUGGGGCUGCGGCCGAUCAGGCAGUUGGUGAGGUAACGGCUCACCAAACCUUUGACCGGUACGGGCCAUGAGAGUGGUAGCCCGGAGAUGGGCACUGAGACAAGGGCCCAGGCCCUACGGGGCGCAGCAGGCGCGAAACCUCCACAAUUCACGCAAGUGAGAUGGGGUUACCUCGAGUGCCGCCUGAAGAAGGCGGCUUUUCCAUGGUGUAAUGAGCCGUGGGAAUAAGGGGGGGGCAAGACUGGUGUCAGCCGCCGCGGUAGCACCAGCCCCCCGAGUGGUGGGGAUGAUUAUUUGGCCUAAAGCGUCCGUAGCCGGCUCGGUAAAUCUCUCGUUAAAUCCAGCGUCCCAAGCGUUGGGCUGCGAGAGAGACUGCCGAGCUAGAGGGUGGGAGAGGUCAGCGGUAUUCCUGGGGUAGGGGCGAAAUCCAUUGAUCCCAGGAGGACCACCAGUGGCGAAGGCUGCUGACUAGAACACGCCUGACGGUGAGGGACGAAAGCUGGGGUAGCGAAUCGGAUUAGAUACCCGAGUAGUCCCAGCC
rnacentral:rRNA from 1 species